AUUGAACGCUGGCGGUAUGCUUUACACAUGCAAGUCGAACGGCAGCAUAGGUGCUUGCACCUGAUGGCGAGUGGCGAACGGGUGAGUAAUGCAUCGGAACGUGCCCAAUCGUGGGGGAUAACGCAGCGAAAGCUGUGCUAAUACCGCAUACGAUCUACGGAUGAAAGCGGGGGACCUUCGGGCCUCGCGCGAAUGGAGCGGCCGAUGUUAGAUUAGGUAGUUGGUGGGGUAAAGGCUCACCAAGCCGACGAUCUAUAGCUGGUCUGAGAGGACGACCAGCCACACUGGAACUGAGACACGGUCCAGACUCCUACGGGAGGCAGCAGUGGGGAAUUUUGGACAAUGGGCGAAAGCCUGAUCCAGCAAUACCGCGUGCAGGAAGAAGGCCUUCGGGUUGUAAACUGCUUUUGUACGGAACGAAAAGGCUCUUUCUAAUAAAGAGGGCUCAUGACGGUACCGUAAGAAUAAGCACCGGCUAACUACGUGCCAGCAGCCGCGGUAAUACGUAGGGUGCGAGCGCUAAUCGGAAUUACUGGGCGUAAAGCGUGCGCAGGCGGUUUUGUAAGACAGGCGUGAAAUCCCCGGGCUCAACCUGGGAAUUGCGCUUGUGACUGCAAGGCUAGAGUACGGUAGAGGGGGGUAGAAUUCCGCGUGUAGCAGUGAAAUGCGUAGAUAUGCGGAGGAACACCGAUGGCGAAGGCAGCCCCCUGGACCUGUACUGACGCUCAUGCACGAAAGCGUGGGGAGCAAACAGGAUUAGAUACCCUGGUAGUCCACGCCCUAAACGAUGUCAACUGGUUGUUGGGAAUUUACUUUCUCAGUAACGAAGCUAACGCGUGAAGUUGACCGCCUGGGGAGUACGGCCGNCAGGUUG
rnacentral:rRNA from 1 species